AUGCUGUGGCGCCCUUCCCCCACUCCCCCUUUCCCUCCCCUCUUCCGCCCUCCCCUAACAGGAAAGAAAGGAGCCGGGCUGGCUGGGGCUGACCUGGAAUCUACCCAUGAGGCAACGCGGCGGGUUCGCGAGCCCCCGCCCCCCUCCCUUCUUCUCUCCCUUCCUCCCUCCCCGCAGCCUAGGCGCCUGCUCCGCUAUGGGAGCCGCCGUCGUCCCAGUUGCCGCGGUGUUUUCCUGCUCCUCCUUUUCCUCCUCCUCUUUCUCCUCCUCCUCAGUGCCCCAGUAAGGCCACUCCCGCAUCACACACGGAAGAAUACCCUGUUGAGAAACGUGGAGCUAGGCACACAGUCUUCUGGCAGUGUGAGCUGCGAGAAGGACGCUACCUCCUCCUGAGAGCAUCCUCCUAGUACCUAGAGAUGGAAAGAGUGUCUCCCAAAUUAUGUCGAUUAAUGCUUUUAAGAAAAGGUAGGAGGGAAGAUCGUGCUGUGCAGCAGUAGCCUUCCUAGCCCUUGUGUAGGCAGAACCCAAAGGUUGGUGCCAUUUAAAAAAAAAAGGAACUUUUAAAUUAGGUUUCCAAUUUGAAGUUUGGGUGUGUAGGCUCCUAAGAAUCUGAUACCCUUCACCUCUUCGCGCCACCACCACCAUGGAAGGGCUUAGAUUUUUAUUAGAAUGACUGUUUUCAUAUGUAGGGGAUUUUAUGUGUCAACCCAAGCUUUCUCCCUAAGAAACAUCUCUUUGUUUUAUUAGGCUGAGGAGGGGUCAAAUAUGAACAGCAUUUUGUUGGGGGUGCAGAGGUGGUAGAUGCUGGAUAGUAAUAGGCCUGAAUAUUUCUCUUUUGGGUAUUUUAGUUGACCUUUUAAAAGUAAAGAACCUCUGGGGGGCAAACUUCAGUCUGUCACACUUUAGUAUGAAUUAAUUAGAUAAAUGUGUACCACGAAGCUGAGAUUACAACUCUAUAAGGAUUGGAGUUUUGAAUGAUCUAGCGGGAAUGAGAGGGGUGAAAAAGAGUAGAAAAAUCAACCAAGACAAAAACAUUUUUAUUUGAAGUUUUGCCUGGUACUCUUUUGCUGUCACUGAUAAUUACUCCCAUAGGUUGUUGAUGUCUAAGACCACUUUGGAAAGGUUUUAGGCUAAGGGGCUAACCUUGGUUCUAGUCCAUUUUAAGUCUAGCUCCUUCCUCCCCCCCCCCCAUUUCAGUAUUACAAGAUUUCUUUUGUAAAGGGGGAAUCCUCCCUCUCCCCAACUCAUCGAAUUUCUUUCCUCACACAUUAAGUGGAGAGAUUAGAUUUGAGGGUCAGAGGCUGUAAACUGAAAGUAAUAUGUAAUCUAUUUUGGAAAUUUAAAAAAAUAUUAUAGAUAUUAGAAGUUUUAUUUUAAUUGUAAGGGAAA
rnacentral:lncRNA from 1 species